GGAUGUAGCUCAGUGGCAGAGCACUUGCCUAACAAGUGGGAGACCCUGGGUUCAGUCCCCAGCACCA
rfam:Ictidomys tridecemlineatus contig022863, whole genome shotgun sequence.